rnacentral:tRNA from 2 species
AAUGAAGUGUCUGAAUAUAGAGUUAUUUUGAUAGAGUAAAAAAUGUGAUUAUAUCACCUUCAUUA